rnacentral:rRNA from 1 species
UACGUAGGGUGCGAGCGUUAAUCGGAAUUACUGGGCGUAAAGCGUGCGCAGGCGGUUCGCUAAGACCGAUGUGAAAUCCCCGGGCUUAACCUGGGAACUGCAUUGGUGACUGGCGGGCUAGAGUAUGGCAGAGGGGGGUAGAAUUCCACGUGUAGCAGUGAAAUGCGUAGAGAUGUGGAGGAACACCGAUGGCGAAGGCAGCCCCCUGGGUCAAGAUUGACGCUCAUGCACGAAAGCGUGGGGAGCAAACAGG